rnacentral:rRNA from 1 species
CCUACGGGAGGCAGCAGUGAGGAAUAUUGGUCAAUGGCCGUAAGGCUGAACCAGCCAAGUCGCGUGAAGGAAGAAGGAUCUAUGGGUUGUAAACUUCUUUUAUAGGGGAAUAAAGGUAUCCACGUGUGGAGAUUUGCAUGUACCCUAUGAAUAAGGAUCGGCUAAUUCCGUGCCAGCAGCCGCGGUAAUACGGAGGAUGCGAGCGUUAUCCGGAUUUAUUGGGUUUAAAGGGUGCGUAGGUUGUUUGUUAAGUGUGCGGUGAAAGUUUGUGGCUCAACCAUGAAAUUGCCGUUGAAACUGGAUGACUUGAGUGUGUUUGAGGUAGGCGGAAUGCGUGGUGUAGCGGUGAAAUGCAUAGAUAUCACGCAGAACUCCGAUUGCGAAGGCAGCUUACUACGCCAUAACUGACACUGAAGCACGAAAGCGUGGGGAUCAAACAGGAUUAGAUACCCUUGUAGUC